GAUGAACGCUGGCGGCGUGCUUAACACAUGCAAGUCGAACGGAAAGGCCCAAGCUUGCUUGGGUACUCGAGUGGCGAACGGGUGAGUAACCCGUGGGUGAUCUGCCCUGCACUUCGGGACAAGCCUGGGCAACUGGGACUAAUACCGGAUAGGACCACGUCUUAGAUGUUGUGGUGGAAAGUUCUUUCGGUGGGGGAUGUGCUCGCGGCCUAUCAGCUUGUUGGUGGGGUAGUGGCCUACCAAGGCGUCGACGGGUAGCCGGCCUGAGGGGGCGUACGGCCACAUUAGAACUGAGAGACAGGCCAGAGUCCGACAGGAUGCAGCAGGGGGGAAUAUUUGACAAAGGGCGGAAGCCUGAGGCAGGAACGCCGCGUGGGGGUUGACGGCCUUCGGGUUGUAAACUCCUUUCGCUAGGGACGAAGCGUUUUUGUGACGGUACCUGGAGAAGAAGCACCGGCUAACUACGUG
rnacentral:rRNA from 1 species